rnacentral:rRNA from 1 species
GAACGAACGCUGGCGGCGUGGAUAAGACAUGCAAGUCGAACGGGACUUGUCUGUAGCAAUACGAGGCAAGUUCAGUGGCGCAAGGGUGCGUAACACGUGGGCAACCUGCCCAAAAGUGGGGGGAUAGCUCGCCGAAAGGCGAAUUAAUACCGCAUAUGGCUGGGAAGAUAUUCUUCCGACGCUAAAGUCGGGGCAACCUGACGCUUUUGGAUGGGCCCGCGGCCUAUCAGCUAGUUGGUGAGGUAACGGCUCACCAAGGCUAUGACGGGUAGCUGGUCUGAGAGGACGACCAGCCACACUGGAACUGAGACACGGUCCAGACACCUACGGGUGGCAGCAGUCGAGAAUUUUUCUCAAUGGGGGAAACCCUGAAGGAGCGACGCCGCGUGGAGGAUGAAAGGUCUUCGGAUUGUAAACUCCUGUCAUGAGAGAACAAACCCGGACGCUUAACUGGUGUCCGGCUGAUAGUAUCUCAAGAGGAAGAGACGGCUAACUCUGUGCCAGCCGCCGC